rnacentral:rRNA from 1 species
CCUACGGGAGGCAGCAGUGAGGAAUAUUGGUCAAUGGACGCAACUCUGAACCAGCCAAGUAGCGUGCAGGAUGACUGCCCUAUGGGUUGUAAACUUCUUUUAUGCGGGGAUAAACUGAGUCACGUGUGGCUUUUUGCAUGUACCUCAUGAAUAAGGACCGGCUAAUUCCGUGCCAGCAGCCGCGGUAAUACGGAAGGUCCGGGCGUUAUCCGGAUUUAUUGGGUUUAAAGGGAGCGCAGAGCGGCCGUUAAGUCAGUUGUGAAAGGCCGCGGCUCAACCGUGACAUUGCAAGGGAAACUGGGAGGCUUGAGUGCAGUGGAGGUAGGCGGAAUUCGUGGGGUAGCGGUGAAAUGCUUAGAUAUCACGAAGAACUCCGAUUGCGAAGGCAGCGUACUAUAGCGUUACUGACACUGAGGCUCGAAGGUGCGGGUAUCGAACAGGAUUAGAUACCCGUGUAGUC